UUUAGGCUGGCCCAGGUCCUAGUGUCGGUCCGGCCCAUAGGUUGGGCCGUGUCACAAAGAGGCUACAUGUAGUGAAAAUGUGAGAAAGAGAAGGGGAAUUGAAGGAUAAUAGUUGCUACAAUUUAGAGAGGAGGAUGACUUGUUGUGUCCAAAGGGAAAUAUUGGGUUAAGGGGAAGGAUUUUAGUUUUUGAGAGAAUUGAGUUUUUUUUUUUCCUUUUUUAUUUAAAGACAGAAGCUAACGUAGCAAUUUUAUUAAUCAUUAGCGAUGCCACCAAUAAGAGGGUGUAAUUACUUUGAUGUAUAAAUUACAUGCAAUUAUUAAAAAUAAAAAGUUUCUUUUUUUUUUGUCUAUUUUUCCUAAUAAUAAAUAAGAAGAAGAAACCAGGGUAAAUUUAUAGCUCGUCUUUGAACUUUACUCUCUUAUUUCACUUUCAUCUCUUAAUUUUAAUUUAUUACUAAAAAAGCUCUGAACUUUAUUUUUAUUUCACAAAAAUCUCUUUAACCUGCUGUAAUAGGU
rnacentral:misc_RNA from 1 species